UGGGGAAUAUUGCACAAUGGGCGCAAGCCUGAUGCAGCCAUGCCGCGUGUGUGAAGAAGGCCUUCGGGUUGUAAAGCACUUUUGUCCGGAAAGAAAUCCUUGGCUCUAAUACAGUCGGGGGAUGACGGUACUGGAAGAAUAAGCACCGGCUAACUACGUGCCAGCAGCCGCGGUAAUACGUAGGGUGCAAGCGUUAAUCGGAAUUACUGGGCGUAAAGCGUGCGCAGGCGGUUUGCUAAGACCGAUGUGAAAUCCCCGGGCUCAACCCUGGGAACUGCAUUGGUGACUGGCAGGCUAGAGUAUGGCAGAGGGGGGUAGAAUUCCAGCGUGUAGCAGUGAAAUGCGUAGAGAUGUGGAGGAAUACCGAUGGCGAAGGCAGCCCCCUGGGCCAAUACUGACGCUCAUGCACGAAAGCGUGGGGAGCAAACAGGAUUAGAUACCCUGGUAGUCCACGCCCUAAACGAUGUCAACUAGUUGUUGGGGAUUCAUUUUCCUUAGUAACGUAGCUAACGC
rnacentral:rRNA from 1 species